AUUUUUAUUUUAAGUUUAAAUUUAAAUUUUUAAAAUUUAUAAUUUAAAAUUAUAAAUUUUAAAGUUUAAAUUUUAAAUUUUAAAUUUUAAAUUUGAUAUUUUUAGUUUUUAAAUUUUAAAUUUGAUAUUUUAUAUCUUUGAAAUUUAAAUUUGGUCCUAAAUUUAAAUUUUGAUAUUUAAAAUUAAAAUUUUUGAAAAUUAGAAUUUUAAAUUUUAAAAUUUAAAAGUUAAAAUUUUUAAUUUAAAAUUAUAAGUUUAAAAUUUAAAUAUUCAAAUUCAAUUAUAGGAAUAAUAUCAUUAUUUUUUAUUUAUAACUAACAACUAUUCCUCUUAUUCCCAAUAACCAAUCAAAUACAAUUUUUCUAGUUCCAGCUUAUACUCACAUUUUCAUCCAAAUAAAAAAGCACGCUUGUUCUUAAAAAAGUUCAUACUUAUACCUAUCCCCGAUAUAACUAGUUCCUACUAAUUUCCGAACCAAACGGCGCCUUUCGCUAUUACUUCUCCGUUCCAACAC
rnacentral:lncRNA from 1 species